UACACUCCUACGGGAGGCAGCAGUGAGGAAUAUUGGACAAUGGGUGGAAGCCUGAUCCAGCCAUCCCGCGUGCAGGAAGACGGCCCUAUGGGUUGUAAACUGCUUUUAUCUGGGGAUAAACCUACUUACGUGUAAGUAGCUGAAGGUACCAGAAGAAUAAGCACCGGCUAACUCCGUGCCAGCAGCCGCGGUAAUACGGAGGGUGCAAGCGUUAUCCGGAUUUAUUGGGUUUAAAGGGUCCGUAGGCGGACUGAUAAGUCAGUGGUGAAAUCCGACAGCUUAACUGUCGAACUGCCAUUGAUACUGUUAGUCUUGAGUAAGGUUGAAGUGGCUGGAAUAAGUAGUGUAGCGGUGAAAUGCAUAGAUAUUACUUAGAACACCAAUUGCGAAGGCAGGUCACUAAGUCUUAACUGACGCUGAUGGACGAAAGCGUGGGGAGCGAACAGGAUUAGAAACCCGGUAGUCCCA
rnacentral:rRNA from 1 species